rnacentral:rRNA from 1 species
UACAGAGGUCUCAAGCGUUGUUCGGAUUCAUUGGGCGUAAAGGGUGUGUAGGUGGCGCCGUAAGUCGGGCGUGAAAUUUCGGAGCUUAACUCCGAGACUGCAUUCGAUACUGCGGUGCUUGAGGACUGGAGAGGAGACUGGAAUUCAUGGUGUAGCAGUGAAAUGCGUAGAGAUCAUGAGGAAGACCAGUGGCGAAGGCGGGUCUCUGGACAGUUCCUGACACUGAGACACGAAGGCCAGGGGAGCAAACGGG